rnacentral:rRNA from 1 species
AUUGAACGCUGGCGGCAUGCUUUACACAUGCAAGUCGAACGGUAACAGGUUAAGCUGACGAGUGGCGAACGGGUGAGUAAUGCAUCGGAACGUGCCCGAUCGUGGGGGAUAACGCAGCGAAAGCUGCGCUAAUACCGCAUACGAUCUGAGGAUGAAAGCGGGGGACCGUAAGGCCUCGCGCGAUCGGAGCGGCCGAUGUCAGAUUAGGUAGUUGGUGGGGUAAAGGCUAACCAAGCCAGCGAUCUGUAGCUGGUCUGAGGGGACGACCAGCCACACUGGGACUGUGACACGGCCCAGACGCCUACUGGAGGCAGCAGUGGGGAAUUUUGGACAAUGGGCGAAAGCCGGAUCCAGCAAUGCCGCGUGCAGGAAGAAGGCCUUCGGGUUGUAAACUGCUUUUGUACGGAGCGAAAAGGCUCUCUCUAAUACAGGGGGCUCAUGACGGUACCGUAAGAAUAAGCACCGGCUAACUACGUGCCAGCAGCCGCAGUAA